rnacentral:lncRNA from 1 species
GAACCACCUACCUUCCAUAAGCCAGCAGGAUGUCUUACUCACAUGAAGAAUUCAAUGCCCCGAGUGAGGCUCGAAUCCACAUUGGUGAGGGACAAGUGCUUUGAAGUCAGCGACCUUAACCUCUCGGCCACGGUGGCCCCUACAGACCAUCGUCAAAUCAUCAGGCACAUUGACCGUUAUCGUACUAUUAUUCUUCGUUGUAAUUUUAAGGUAGUGGACCCGUAUUGACUGUCGGCAAAUUAUAUGAUCACCGUAUGCCAUUUCAGCGUUCAGUGGUGUUUUGGCGGGAGAAAGCCAUGUGCGCAAGGAGUCCGAAGAAUGCCGAAUUUCCUAACGAGAGUACGAAAUCACACGGAUGUCGCUGAUUGUUAUUGCUGGCCUACUACUUUAAGAUGAAGACAUUAUUCCCGAUGCGCAGCGAGUCUAGUCGAACAAGAGUCGUUCAAGACGAAAAACACGUCUGGGUGGCGGCAAUUGUUUUAUUUAGCUGGAAACGUUCAUAAAAUGGUGAAAAUACAACCAUAAGACAUAUAUCUACCAGAGUGAAUCAGGAUCCACGCAUAAUUCACGUCCCGUCAAGAAAUGCAACAUUCCACCAUCUUGAUCAUUGCGCUGGAAGAUGGAAAAUUCGUGAAGGGGAAAAAUGCCGAUUAUCCAGAUUGCCCAUCCACAUAUCAAGUUUAACACAUAGAUUCCGUGAUUUAUGACGUAUUUUGGAGCGUUCGACGGUUACCAUAGAAACGAUGGAAAAUCAAUCAUGAGAGUAUGUUGAUCAUGGCUUAAAUGACUGAAUGAGAGUUUUACAAGUAUCAUUAAUUGUUUUCUUUGAUUUAUGACUUUUAUGCACGCAGAUAUUAAAACCUUUUCAUGAAAAUGUAGAAAAAUACGAGUAAUAUAUUAUUUUAUACUAUUUUUGUCAUUUUUAACUAAGAAAGAAUAGAGUAUACAACUUCUGUGCAAGUUUACUCUAAAAGACCUAAGACCAGUGUGACAUAACAAACAAUAUUUUUUAAAACGGCGGCUGAUUAUCAGAAGUAAAUAAUUCACAAUUGCAAGGGUAUAAAAUAUUUUUGAGAAAUAUUGUUUUUUCUUUAUUUGUAAUUCAACAGUGUGUAUUGAUAGUUAUUAAAAUAUUCAGAUUUUGUGUAAGGAUCUUGAACAAAAUAGACCGUUACAAGCAUUAA